UAGGGAAUCUUCGGCAAUGGGGGGAACCCUGACCGAGCAACGCCGCGUGAGUGAAGAAGGUUUUCGGAUCGUAAAGCUCUGUUGUUAAGGAAGAACGAGUGUGAGAAUGGAAAGUUCAUGCUGUGACGGUACUUAACCAGAAAGGGACGGCUAACUACGUGCCAGCAGCCGCGGUAAUACGUAGGUCCCGAGCGUUGUCCGGAUUUAUUGGGCGUAAAGCGAGCGCAGGCGGUUAGAUAAGUCUGAAGUUAAAGGCAGUGGCUCAACCAUUGUAGGCUUUGGAAACUGUUUAACUUGAGUGCAGAAGGGGAGAGUGGAAUUCCAUGUGUAACGGUGAAAUGCGUAGAUAUAUGGAGGAACACCGGUGGCGAAAGCGGCUCUCUGGUCUGUAACUGACGCUGAGGCUCGAAAGCGUGGGGAGCGAACAGG
rnacentral:rRNA from 1 species